ensembl:lncRNA
AGACGCUGGAGGAGAGCUCUGUGCCAGGGGACAUCGAGCAGUGCCAGGGCGGCCCCCACACCCUCACAGAGGGCGGCCUGAUCACUGGCAUCCACAGACAGCAUCUACUGCAAUAGCUAUUGAUAUGUUGAUGUGUAUACUGGGUACACGCGUGUACAGAGACUUUGUAAAUACAUGUACGCACGUGUGUGUUCAUGACUAGGAAACAUAAAGUCAACAUCUCAGGCCCGUGGUGCCGCAGAAGGAGGAAGCAGUGUCAGCCUCCGGAACCAGAGAGAGGAAGUCCCCUGGUUGACGAGCCCGCGUCUGUGCACUUGUUACAGCGGCGGGACCAGCUGAGACACAGGUCAGUCACCGUGGAGCUGGGUGUGGAUGCGGCAGCGCCGGGAGGUCCUGGGGCUCCAGCCUCAGAGGGACGUUGUGCUCGGGUCUGGAGACUGACCUUGGCCACACUGCAGGCUGCUCUCGCACGAAUGUCGGCUGCACCCCGCGACACCCACGCUCUCGUGCAGCCGCGAGGGUGCCUCUGUGAAGGGGCUGCCACCUUUAGGAGCCAGUGCGAAGCCGAUGACCUGGAUGCUGGAGGUCGCCGGGUUAAGCGGCUGAGAAAGCACAGCCGGGGGCCGUGCCAGAGGGGGAAGGAGCCAAGCAGCACCUGCGGGGGCCCCCCGCCCACAAGGCGCACCCCUGCAUGCUCUUCUCUUCGCCUCGCACUGUGUUGUCCUCACAGCACCUGUGUUCACGUUCUGGUUUUCUUUUUGUCUGUUAUCUGAGGCCAGAGACCCUGGUCCACACUCUCCCUCGGACAGGGCUUCAUGCCCAUCCGCCUCCGCGAGGCUCCAGCGUCCUCAGCUCAGUGUGGUCAGAGUGACCUUGGCUCUCUCCUCUUGGCUCUGGACUGACCUCCACUGUGACCUAGAGCCCGAGUGGCCCCGGAGAAGAACCUGGCCUGAACACAGUGGCACUGAAACGCCAUCAAGAAACCAAAAGAGGGGGCCCCGCCCCGUGGCACAGUGAUUAAGUUGGUGCACUCCACUUCGGCAGCCCGGGGUUCACUCACCUGGAUCUUGGGUGUGGACCUACGUAUCACUUAUGCUGUGGCAGGCGUCCCACAUAUAAAGUAGAGGAAGAUGGGCACAGAUGUUAGCCCAGGGCCAAUCUUCCUCAGCAAAAGGAGGAGUAUUGGCAGCAGAUGUUAGCUCAGGGCUAAUCUUCCUCAAAAAAAAAGAAAAAGAAAAAAAAAAAGAAACUGAAAGAGGGGUGACUUUCUUUGGGUGUCCAGACAGCGUGGCAGGGAGAGACCCAGGGCAGUGUGGCCCCACAAGGUAGCUCGGCCCCUGGCUUCGUAACAGUGCAGGCUCAGGGGUGGGGUGUCUCUAACCGGGAAGAUCGGGGCAGUUAAAACAACUGUUUAGGAUUAUUUCACCCUUCCACGUUGCUCUGUGUAAUGCAGACAGAGCGCCUGCAAGGCAAGGGGAGGUUGUGUGAGUGCACACAUGUGUGCGUGCACAGGGGUGCGGUGUGUAGGAGCUGGGAGAAGGGACAGGAGUCACCUUGGGGUCAAGCGCAGUGGACGGUGGGUAGCUCAGCUGGGACUCUUUUAGGAUUAGGGAACUGAAGCCCAUUCAGAUGGACUUAAGCAGGUGGCGGAGGUGCGUGUGUCAGCGCUAUGGGCUGAACUGUGUGCCUGCAAGAUUCACAUGUUGCAGUCCUGACCCCAGUACCUUAGAACGUGACUGUUUGGAGACAGAGUCUUUAAAGAGGUGAGUAAGGUAACAGGAGGCCAUUAGGGUGGCCCUGAUCCAGUAUGACUGGAGUCCUUAUGAGAAGAGGAGAUGAGGACACAGACACGCACAGAGGGAAGACCAUGUGAGGACACGGGGAGGAGACAGCCGUCCACAGGCCAAGGAGAGAGGUCCAGAGGAAACCAGCCCUGCACACACCCCGAUCUCGGACCUGCAGCCUCUGGACCUGGAGGAGCCCUCUGCACUCUGCCAACAUCUGCUUCAGGAAGCUUUUACUGUAAGCAGCUGGGUGUGGCCACCCGCCUUGGGCCAGUGGGUACAGCCCAGACUCUGCAGAGCCGGUCUGCCGACGACGCUAAGGUCCCAGCUCCCACUCACUAGCACAGGACCCUGGGAAUCUACGUAACCUCCGGUGCCUCAGUUUCCCCAUCUGUCAGAUGAGAAAAACAAUGCUCCUUGAAGGGGGUGAUAGUGGCGUCCAGGCCUUUGCACAUGCUGUCCCUGCUCUUCAUCUGCUGAACUCCCUUCUAUCCAGGUCUCCCCUCCUCUGGACUACAUCAAAUCCCUGAUGACCAGCUACCUCUGCUCUCAAGACUGUCACAGUUACACUCUGACAUUGCUGAGGAGUAUUUAUUCAUGUCUGUCCUCGCCACUGGACUGGAAGCUCUGCCAGGGCAGAGGCUGGCAGGAUUUCAUUCGCCACUGUAUCCUCAACAUUUAGCUCUGACUGCCUGGGAUGUUCGUCCCCCACAUCUCUGCAGGGCUGGCUCCUUCCCAGAAUUUCGGUCUCAGCUCUAAAG